UACAGAGGGGGCAAGCGUUAUUCGGAAUUAUUGGGCGUAAAGGGCUCGUAGGCGGUUUGUCGCGUCGGGAGUGAAAUCCACUGGCUUAACUGGUGGCUUGCUUUCGAUACGGGCAGACUGGAGGUAUGCAGGGGAGAACGGAAUUCCUGGUGUAGCGGUGAAAAUGCGUAGAUAUCGAGAGGAACACCUGCGGCGAAGGCGGGUUGCUGGGCUGACACUGACGUGAGGCGCGAAAGCCAGGGGAGCAAAACGGGAUU
rnacentral:rRNA from 1 species